ACAGCAGUAGCCGCGGGAAUACGUAGGUGGCAAGCGUUGUCCGGAAUUAUUGGGCGUAAAGGGCUCGCAGGCGGUUUCUUAAGUCUGAUGUGAAAGCCCCCGGCUCAACCGGGGAGGGUCAUUGGAAACUGGGAAACUUGAGUGCAGAAGAGGAGAGUGGAAUUCCACGUGUAGCGGUGAAAUGCGUAGAGAUGUGGAGGAACACCAGUGGCGAAGGCGACUCUCUGGUCUGUAACUGACGCUGAGGAGCGAAAGCGUGGGGAGCGAACAGGAUUAGAUACCCCUGUAGUCCCUGUCUCUUAUAU
rnacentral:rRNA from 1 species